rnacentral:rRNA from 1 species
AUGACUUCCUCAGCCGGCGUCGCCCUGAACCUCGGUUCGCCUCCGUCAGAGAAACUUGCGAGAGGGAACUUCAUCCUCUGGAAGACGCAGGUUCUCCCAGCCCUGCGAGGUGCGCAGGUCACCGGGCUGCUCGACAACUCCGACGCCGCUCCGCCCAAGAUGGUGGAGGUCACAAAGGCGGACAAAACUACGGCCCAAGAGCCGAACCCUCUGUAUGGACCUUGGAUCGCCAAAGAUCAACAGGUUCUGUCAUAUCUGCUCAACUCCAUGUCUCCUGAGAUUCUUGCACAGGUCGUCGGGAGGGACUCCACCUUCGAGCUUUGGACAACAAUCAACAACCUCUUCGCCUCACAAUCGCAGUCUCGGAUUACCAAUCUGAGGAUUGCGAUCACCAACACCAAGAAAGGCACCAUGUCAAGUUCAGCAUACAUGGCGAAGAUGAAGAGUCUCGGGGAUGAACUAGCUGCUGCUGGUCGUCCCGUCUCUGAUCCGGAGAUGGUGGACUACAUACUUGCAGGUCUGGAUCGCGACUACGACUCCGUGGUGGCGGCAAUCGGCGCUGUCAAGAACAGCAUCACC